rnacentral:rRNA from 1 species
AGCGAACGCUGGCGGCAGGCCUAAUACAUGCAAGUCGAACGGCUCUUCGGAGCAGUGGCGGACGGGUGAGUAACGCGUGGGAAUGUGCCCUUAGGUACGGAACAACACAGGGAAACUUGUGCUAAUACCGUAUGUGCCCUUCGGGGGAAAGAUUUAUCGCCUUUGGAGCAGCCCACGUUGGAUGAGCUAGUUGGUGAGGUAAAGGCUAACCAAGGCGACGAUCCAUAGCUGGUCUGAGAGGAUGACCAGCCACACUGGGACUGGGACACGGCCCAGACUCCUACGGGAGGCAGCAGUAGGGAAUCUUGCGCAAUGGGCGAAAGCCUGACGCAGCCAUGCCGCGUGUAUGAUGAAGGUCUUAGGAUUGUAAAAUACUUUCACCGGGGAAGAUAAUGACGGUACCCGGAGAAGAAGCCCCGGCUAACUUCGUGCCAGCCGCCGCCGUAACAC